rnacentral:lncRNA from 1 species
GGGCGCUCACAUGACGUUAAGCAUUUCCUGGUGCAUAAUGUGACGCUUCAGAACCUAAAAUCCCGUUGACACGACAACACAUAACCGGCGUUUUCAGAAAUCUCCACUUUGGCCGGAGUUUUUAGAAAUAAUAAUUUUCUGUGAUAAGACAGGGCCUCAGACAGGGGGUGCUGCAGCACCCCCAGCACCCCUACUUCCCGCGGUACUGGAUCGGAGUGACAGCUUGGCAACAUCCACAGUUAGUAACGAGAGAGGGAGUUUUGAAGACCAUGAUGAGACAGAGCGGGACUCGGGAGCUGACAGGCCAGAAAAUCAAUGCGCAGCCGCAGGUCUUCGUUCGACGCACCUCCAUCCACCCCACCACCACCAGGUCGGCCUCAGUCUACUUGUCCAGGGGAAGGCUCCGCCCCUGCUAGUCCUGGCAGGAUACGCCGAGUCCGCACGUCACCCUGGAUCAGUGACGAGGCUCAUGCCAAAGAUUUACCAUGCAAAAUAUUCCCAUGUCGUUAUUUAAAUAAAUCCUGUUCAUACUUAUCGGUGAUCGAGUCUUUAUGGGAGAAAUAUACUUUUUACUUGCAUAAUCUUCAGUCAGUGAAUGUUUUUUAUUCUCAACAAUUUUAAGGAGGAUCUUUCUCCCUCUCUUCACUGGAGAAGCCUCCACUGGUAGUAGUAGCAGUUGUACUAGUAGUAUUUGAGUAGGCCUAUAGUAAUAUUCCUGCCAGGCAGCUAAUGGAAACAAAACAAAGCCUUCCUCGCCCGGUCGUGGCGGUUAACACAGAGAGGCUCCUGUUAACACGGAGAGGCUUUGCUGCCAUGAUGCCUGAUUCAUGAGCCGAGGAAGAAGAGGAGAGUAAAACAUCAGGCAGAGGACCGAUGACUCGGACGUUCCUCGCUUUAGGACCGAUGUCAGAUCAAUAACAAGUUUGAACACGACCAGGUCCGGGCUCCACGGCGUGUGAGCCCGGUGUGAUGUCACAGUGCGUGCGGAGAGCGCCACCAGGGAGGAGGGAUCAAUAGCGGGGUGUCGGUUCACACCGUCACACCGCCUCGCUGGUCACCUGUGGAGAAGGCCAGCCGCACCUGACACGUGUCGGAUUCUGGAUAAUAUAUGGAAUAG